AAACUAACAAGGAUUCCCCUAGUAGCGGCGAGCGAAGCGGGAAGAGCUCAAAUUUGUAAUCUGGCACCUUUGGUGUCCGAGUUGUAAUCUCGAGAAGUGUUUUCCGUGCUGGACCGCAUAUAAGUCUGUUGGAAUACAGCGUCAUAGUGGUGAGAACCCAGUUCAUGAUGCGGACUACCAGUGCUUUGUGAUACACUUUCAAAGAGUCGAGUUGUUUGGGAAUGCAGCUCAAAUUGGGUGGUAAAUUCCAUCUAAAGCUAAAUAUUGGCGAGAGACCGAUAGCGAACAAGUACCGUGAGGGAAAGAUGAAAAGCACUUUGGAAAGAGAGUUAACAGUACGUGAAAUUGUUGGAAGGGAAACGCUUGAAGUCAGACUUGCGUAUUGGAGUUUUAGCCUUAGGGUGUACUACUCUGGUUUGCAGGCCAGCAUCAGUUUUUGGGGGUGCAAAAUCGUCAAGGGAAGGUAGCAGCUUCGGCUGUGUUAUAGACUUUGGCAGGAUGCAUCUUUAGGGACUGAGGAACGCAGUGUAUUGUGCCUUCGGGCUGUUGCACUUAGGAUGCUGGUGGAAUGGCUUUAAACGAC
rnacentral:rRNA from 1 species